GCUGUGAUGGCCGAGUGGUUAAGGCGUUAGAUUUGAAAUGCAAUGGGGUUUCCCCACGUAGGUUCCAAUCCUGCUCACAGAG